ACAGAACAGAACAGAACAGAACAGAACAGAACAGAACAGAACAGAACAGAUCAGAACAGAACAGAACAGAAGGCUCUGUCUCUCCCCCAAAAGAUCUCCAAGGAGGAGAGCUCCUCUACCUGUCUCCAAGGCAAAGAAGCUGCUGGAAAGGUUCUCUAAACCCUCAGGAGCAGAGUCUUCCAGCAUUUCUUAGCCUGAGCCUGAGCAGUUCUGAGAUUUUUACAGCAUGCUGGGCACAGUGAGAACUGAGAAAUCUUACCAAAGAGUCUUGGGCUUUAUAUAUAGUGUCCAGAGUGAAAGAGGACACGCCAGUGCCACCUUCAGCAGUAGGAGGAGCACCUUGUCUAUCUGAUAAGGAAGCUCAUGAAGACAGGACUGCCUGUGGCUCCAGAUCUUUAAAAUAUUGGCAACUAAAGAUAAGCAGCUUGAGAGAGGAAACAUGUAUACCUUCCCAGGGCGCAUCCCUGGGGUAGGCUUCACCAAGAGUGGAUACCAUUUGAAAACUGGAAACUUCUUAUGUCCUAGGUGGAAAUGGGCUAUUUUCUAGCAGAGGUGCCAAGUAAAUACUGCUUUCUCACCUCCA